ACGAACGCUGGCGGCAUGCCUAACACAUGCAAGUCGAACGAGACCUUCGGGUCUAGUGGCGCACGGGUGCGUAACGCGUGGGAACCUGCCCUUAGGUUCGGAAUAACUCCCCGAAAGGGGUGCUAAUACCGGAUAAUGUCUUCGGACCAAAGAUUUAUCGCCUUUGGAUGGGCCCGCGUUGGAUUAGCUAGUUGGUAGGGUAAAAGCCUACCAAGGCGACGAUCCAUAGCUGGUCUGAGAGGAUGAUCAGCCACACUGGGACUGAGACACGGCCCAGACUCCUACGGGAGGCAGCAGUGGGGAAUAUUGGACAAUGGGCGAAAGCCAGAUCCAGCAAUGCCGCGUGAGUGAUGAAGGCCUUAGGGUUGUAAAGCUCUUUUACCCGGGAUGAUAAUGACAGUACCGGGAGAAUAAGCUCCGGCUAACUCCGUG
rnacentral:rRNA from 1 species